AGCGAACGCUGGCGGCAGGCUUAACACAUGCAAGUCGAGCGGGCAUAGCAAUAUGUCAGCGGCAGACGGGUGAGUAACGCGUGGGAACGUACCUUUUGGUUCGGAACAACACAGGGAAACUUGUGCUAAUACCGGAUAAGCCCUUACGGGGAAAGAUUUAUCGCCGAAAGAUCGGCCCGCGUCUGAUUAGCUAGUUGGUGAGGUAAUGGCUCACCAAGGCGACGAUCAGUAGCUGGUCUGAGAGGAUGAUCAGCCACAUUGGGACUGAGACACGGCCCAAACUCCUACGGGAGGCAGCAGUGGGGAAUAUUGGACAAUGGGCGCAAGCCUGAUCCAGCCAUGCCGCGUGAGUGAUGAAGGCCCCAGGGUUGUAAAGCUCUUUUGUGCGGGAAGAUAAUGACGGUACCGCAAGAAUAAGCCCCGGCUAACUUCGUG
rnacentral:rRNA from 1 species